rnacentral:lncRNA from 1 species
ACCGAGCGUUUCUAAAUAGAAAACUAUUGCCAUUGAGUGGAUUAUUGAGCCGAACGUCCUCUUUCUUCCCAUCCAAAAUGCAUUUAACUUCAUCAGUACUGGAGGAACAUUCUCGGCUCUUAACAUCCUGAGAGCACUUUGCCCCCCACCGCACCUUUCUAAAUAGGAAACUAUUGCCACCAAGCGGAUCAUCCAGCUGAAUAUUCUCUUUCUUCCCAUCCAAAAUGGAUUUAACUUCAUGGGUACUGGAGGAACAUUCUUGGCUCUUAGCAUCCUGAGAGCACUUUACCCUCCAUCGAGCAUUUCUAAAUAGGAAACUAUUGCCAUUGAGUGGAUUAUCGAGCCGAACGUCCUCUUUCUUCCCAUCCAAAAUGCAUUUAACUUCAUCAGUACUGGAGGAACAUUCUCGGCUCUUAACAUCCUGAGAGCACUUUGCCCCCCACCGCACCUUUCUAAAUAGGAAACUUUUAAAGCGGCUAUGACAUCAUUAAUGCUGAAGAAACAUCCACGGGCCUUAGCAUCAUGAACCAAAGCUUCCCAUAUAGAUUUACUUCUAGUCAGCGUUCUCUUGUUCCCCAAAAUCCAAAGAGAAUAUCUACGUAGAGGCAGCAAAAAGCAGGGAUUGUUUGUAAAUAACAUCUUAUGGCAGAAUUUAAAUCACCCCGAUUAAGCAGGAAUAGAAGAGACUACCUUGCCCUGGUGAUAGUCACAUUGGUUCUCCUAGUGUCAGAAACAAAACCGAUUAAACCACAAGGGUUUGAUCUCACGGUGGAUACUAUUAUGAUGUCUUCUUCACCCCCUUGGAACCCAUCCACUGACCUCACUUUCACUGUAAAGCCUCUGAUAUUCUCAUAUCUUUUUCCAAUUUUGUUUUGUAUCGCAGCAACCUGAGCUCUAUAUGGAGAUAUCACGCCAACACUUAGAUCUUCGCCUGAAGAUUUGCAUGCUGCAGAAAAACCAAGACCAUAUAAUUAGAUCAGGGAGAAGUUACGACCACACAAACGUGAAAGUGUCAUGUACGCGUCCAAUUACUGUCCCAUGCGUCCCGUGAGGCUAAGUUAAUGACCUAAAUGACCGGAAAGCACAUCAUCUCUAGUGUCAAAGAGCAUUUAAAGCUAUGCAAAUCUCUUUAAGCAUCCCAAGAAACUAAAUGGACUGGUAAGAUUGAACAGAAAGAUUCUUCUCUUGCAGCUUCACCAGUCAACAACUGCCCCCCUGUGAUCUACAACAGUAUAGCAAAAGGGGCAUCCACACAUAACCAAACAAGUGCAAAGACAAAUUCGUUGUUUGCAUCAAUUCAUACAUUUGGCAGGAAAUGAUAUAAUCUGGGAAAAUUCUCUCACAGCGUACCUCUGUAUAGAUUACUCAAAAUCAUUGAGACAACUCCAACCUCAGCAUAGUUUCUAAAGCCACGUCCACCAUCCCCGGCUUCUUCUCUUCCAUCAGCAAUAUUUAUGAAGGAGUACGGGCCAAACAUUGGCCAUGGCAAAUGACAUUUUCUGUAACUUUUGUUAGUAACAUUCGACCCAUUCCAAAUUUGGUUAUUGUAAAAAGUUGAUGUUGGAAAGUGACUUAUCGCAGGAUGCAUCCUGUACUGGAUAUUUAGAAGGUGCCUUGGAUGACCCAGAGUACUCAACCUUUCAAAGAGACUCCUUCCAAAGCCAGCCUUGCUAGAAAGCUAUAUAAACAAAAAUAUACACAAACUUAAAGGUCAAUUAAGCAUAAAAUCAUUCAUUUUUAUGUAUGCUUGUGUUAAAGGUCAAUUAAACAUAAAAUUAUUCCAGUUUUUGUAUGCUUGUGCACAUUCCUAGUGAAGCAUUCACUGAUGACAUACCUUGCUCUCAACCAUAGCAGGCAACUGACAUUCAUCCCCAACUAAAAUUGCAUGCCUGACACCGUGAAGUUGUAGCGGAAUUAUUGACUCGCAUUCUUUCAACUGCGCAGCCUCAUCAAUCACCAAUAAACUGACAGGCUUCAUUUCCACGUUGUAGAGCUUAUAUGAGCUACAGGCAGUGCAGAAAAUCAAGGAAGCCGCUUGAUAACAGAACUCAGCUAUCUUAUGCUUACUCAUAAAUGGUGCAAGGUUUAGCCUUCUAAGAGACUUAUUAAGAGUUUGCAAAAGAGAGAGACAUUCACGUCUCUUUAUCGACAAUGAUGUAUAUAGUGGAUCUGUGUGUGCUUUCAAUGAAGAUGGGUCUGAUGAAAAUGCUUCCUUCAACUUUCUGGAAUCCAACUUCUCUCUAUAUAUAGAAACUUCAAAAGAAUCAAGUAAGAUGAGAAGGGACUUAAUAUCCUGGAAAUUAUGUUCCAAAAGGUAACUUUUGGAUAUAUGGGUGCAUAAGAUAGAGAAGCAUCUUCGGAGAGACUCCGCACUUGACCUGAAUCUGUUCUUAAAAAAUUCCAGAAAUGAUUGAAAUUUAGGUUUGGAUUCCUUUUUGCUGCUUCUACAUUUGCUUGCAACGUCGUUACCAUUAGGCUUUGAUGUAAUCCAGCGUUCAUUCUCCAGAUAAAUGUGGUAUUGGCGGACACAGUCAUUGAGAGUAUCAAUCAUGGAAGGUAGACAAUGCUGCCAACCCGUGAGUACGGAAAAGCACUGCGCGACACAAUCAACGCGAUGAUCCAAGAAUAUUUCCUCCAUAGCUGAAUCUACUUUCAUCCGCUCCUUGUUCCCAAAACAGAGCAUGUCUCCUAAGUUAUAGAGCAAGCGUUCCCCAUGAGAGUUUGUGCAAACCGAUUGUUUCACCAGCUGCAAAACACGAGACGCCAAUUCCUUGAUGGCAACAUUUGUUGGAGCACAAACAAGGGUUCUGUGUUUCCUGUUCAAGAGAGUAAAGAGCAGUGCCGCGACAGUUUUGGUCUUCCCUGUCCCUGGAGGACCCUGUAUAAUUUCCACGGCCGACCCAUGUUCACUCUUGAUUGUAUCAAGACAAGCCAGAACAGCUUUUGUCUGGGAUUCAUUCAGACUACCAAACAAGUUCUUAUUGAGACUCCCAUGCCCAGAGCCAUGACUUUGAGUAAUACAGAGAUUGCAAUCUUUCUCAGCCUGCAAACAAACACAUACUCCUUUGAAAAUUUGCUCCCGAAUAACCUAAGUAAAACUUAGAAACUGUGAAAACAUUGUUGAUUAUGGUCUAUCCUUGUACAGCCUGCACUGAUAUUGAGUACAAAGGAUCUUGCGAUGUAUAAACAAUGUCUCUCUAAAAUAACAAGCUAACUCAAAAGAGAGUGGAUUUUUAUUAUUUGUUUAUAAUCAAUGAAAUUUUGUUGCUGCAGUAAUAUGUUCACCAUAUCCCAUAGCAGAUAAUAAGUGCGAAAAACAGUGUCAUUACCGCUGAAUCCGUACAGAGAAUCUCCCUUACAACGUUCAAGUUCCCAAAUCGGUGUAGCAUGUUCCAUAUCCUAAUGUUAGUGACCGCAUUUAUCAAAAAAACUGCAUAAAUUGACUCCCAUGCAGGAUCAUCAAAUACUUCAUUGUCCAAAAAUGCCUUGACUAUGAACCUUGUUGAUGUUUGAGGAUCCCCAUCCUCGUCUUCUACAAUUCCAGCGACCGAUGCAAAUGCCCAUCUUCCUUUAAACCUAUCAAAGCUGGGAACAGUAUCCGGCUCAGCAUUAGUUAACAACAAAACAUCCCCCGGCAAAGUUUUGUAAGGUUCCUUGCCAUUGUCAGUGGCCCUGUUUCUCCAGUAGUCCACUUCCACAUGGUAAACAUUCUUCUCGCCUUCAACAAACCCAGUGACCUUCGCGAAAGGCAGUCUAGAUACAUUCUGCAUACUCGAACAGAGACUGGCUCGUGUUUCCUCUAGCAAAGGAAAGAUAUAAGAAGCAAAGUAUUGCUCAACUGAUUGAAAUGACUCCAGGAUGCUCUUCACCUACAAAACGGGUGUAUCGUAAAUCAAACAUGACCAACCAACUUCACUCGAUAGAUCAAACGACUCUGCCGUCAUGCAUAUUAACAUCACACAGAUAGGACACCGUAUAGCAUAUUAAAAGGGGAAGUAUAUCCCUGAACACCCAAAAACUUCAUCAUGCAGAGACAGAUGCCAAGGUCCUUCCCCACAAUUCAGCAGUCCAACUUUACAUACAAGGCUCACAAGAGAAACAUUGCUAAAGAGCAAGGAAUUCACAUCCUUUAUAACAUUAUCGAGCUAACACCCAUUGCACUUAAUACUGUUGAUAGUAAUAACGUGUGAUCAAAAGAACAAACAUAGCCCCAUAAAAAUGUGAAAAAAAAAAAAGAGGAAGGAAAGAGACUAGGAAAUGAGAACCUCGUUCCUGUAGAGAUUGGUAUUGAAGAUUUCUCGAAGAGACCAAGAGAAGAUAAUUUUAGUCAGGUCAGCGGGCUUGUCUUUCUUCCUGCCAGAACCAGCCUCCGGACCUUCCGUAGAAUCCAUGGCCAGCCCCACACCCAUCUCUGAAGCCAUAGAAAUCCUUACUUCCCCGUCGAUGACGACGAAUAUGUCUGAGAAUUCCCGAGCAAACGAGAGAUUGAGAGAGCAAAUAUGAAGAAGCGAGCAGCUUUAACACCUGAGAAUCAAUCCCGUCCGAGGGACGAGCAUUUUAGAAAAGACGAUCGGCGAGUGACGGCGGGCACAGUGUGAAAGGGGGGGCGAGGGGAAUCUGAUGAUGGCGAUGACUAGGGGGAAAGUCUCGGUCUCCUCGAACUCCCUUUCGCUAAAACUUUACAUGCUAAAGCUGGUUGCACAAUGCAUGUCGCUUUGCCAUGCGGGCUUUUCCCCAUCGUUCCCCAGUAGUGCGAAUCAAAGCAAGAUGUCUGCCUUUCCGACCAAGAAUAUGAAAAAAAGCUAAGAUGUGAACGCAUCAAAACCCACGAACAACGGUUUGCUUGGAGCGAAGCUUUCCGGCAUUGCUAAGCUUUCGUCGCUGUUUACCGUACACCCGGUCUUUCCUCGUAUGAACAAUCUGGCGUCCUACGUGUGUUUGGAGAGCUUGGACUAAGAUUUAGCAAGACACGUGCGGCCCUUUCUGCUGAUUUGAAUGGCCACAGGUGCGUGCGUACGUGUAACUUGAUCUACAGAAUGGGUGUCUUGUGUUUCCCGUACAUAAGUACUGAAAACACUCAAGGAGGACCUAAGACCAUGAGGCGCAUGACAACGCUUCUUGAUUGGAUAAAAGCUUUUUUUUCAAAAAUAAUUCUUUUUUAUUUCUAUUUCGAAGAACAAUUUCUUAGCAAAAGAAUCCGUUUUGUAACUAUAUAAAAGUUCUACUCUUGAAAUGGAAAAAGAAUAGAAAUGCAUUUGGUAACGCAACAAGCAACGGGCGGUCGACAGUGGGCAGCAGCAACGGCGGCGGCAACCGGAGGCGGCGGCUAGCAGUCGGUGGCGGCGGUGGCUCCAAGCGGUUGAAGGUGUCCACGGCAAAAGAGAAGAAUAAAAGAAAAAAAAAUUACUUAUUUCUAGAAAUUAUUCCCGGAAACAAAAGUAAUUUUUUUUUAUUUUCCAUUUCUGUUCCAAAUCUAUUUCUGAGCUAACUUUCUAUUUCCCAAAAUAUAAAAAUAACUUGGCGUUACCAAACAGGUUUCUGUUCUUUUUUUGUUCCGGAGAACAAAAGAACAGAAAUUAGGAGAAAUGGAAAUGUUACUAUGCACAGCCUAAAGAGCCCUACCGUAUGGUUACUUAGACCCCUUUAAAUACCCCAAAAUACACACUCGGUAUUUAUUGUAUGUAAGAUUAGAUUAAACUUUCAGACAUAUUGGAUAAGAGGAAUUGUUUUUUAGAAAGUUUGGAUAAUUUUAACAAUCGCAUCAAAUGGGUAUUGCAUAAAGAAAUUUAAAAUUUAAAAUUCUUUAGACUUAUAUAACUAGAAAGAUUUUCUAAUGGAAAAUUAGGAAAGCUUUGUGGAAUUCCUGUUGAUUUCUUUAUGAUGUUGCUCGUUUUUCCAUCAUUUGUACUCAUCAAUGUGGAAUUUUUUAAAAAGGAUAGGAUUCUUCUUUAUUUCAGUCGAAGAAAAAGAAAUAGCUCUGAGUAGUGCCCUUGGUUGGCUUUACGUACGGCAGAGAGCCAGCACACAAGCGUCCAUCAUUCUCUUCCUCCGCCCCUGCAGGCCCCAACGUACUCAACAUCGUUCUUCAACAUAAGUAAACAUCAACUCGAUUCGUCAAAAAAAAAAAAAAAAACAUCAACUCGUGAUUUGAGAAGUGAAAUGAUGGUCAUUUAAGACCUCGGGUCCAAGUAACAGUCGGCGAGAAAGGACGCUGAUGGGAUGGCCCUUGAAAAAGUCUCUUGAGUCCCCCCCCCCGCAUCCCCGUACACCAUUUGAUAAGAUUUGGACAGAACUUUGGAUGCGAAGCUUUUUAAAGAAACUUACUCAAUCAACCCUAACUUUAAUAUACGAAUAUCAAUUUAAUUCUAAACUUUUUAAUUUUAUUAAUUUAAUCCUCAAUUUAACAUAUAAUUUUUUUAACCAAUUCUCAUCGAAGAUCGACUACACGAUGAUAUUUCAAGUAGGAUAACUAAUAAUGAUUGAAUCGUUACAUCAGCGAUUUUUGACGAAAAUUGAUUGAAAAUAUUGUAUUAAGAUAUCGCCUAAAGUUUUCGAAUUAAAUUGAUAAAAUUAUAAAAUUUAUGAUUAAAUUGACAUUCAUAUAAUAAAUUUUAUGAUGAAUUAGAUAAUUUUCCCGAGCUUUUUGCGUAGCUUUGUGAUACAGGCUACUUCAUCAUUCCACAUUUUCAAAGUGGAGAAGUCAUAUGCCUCAAACCAACAAAUAAAAGUUACUUUGGGCAAAGCUUUCUUGCACGCUAAGCUUUCUUGCCUGUACCUUACAUACACACCCUUCUCUUAUCGGAAGUGAUUGGCAUCCUGAAUGUUUUGGAGUUUGGAUUUAAAUUAACAAGCACAAGUUCAUUUUUUCAUUUUAAAUGACCACACGCAUGUACAUGCACCACGAUCUUAUGACAGUUUAUGGAAAUUAGAAACGAGAUUUGGUCGUGAUUAGUCCAAGAGUACUCAAAUUGUUUGAUGAGAAACUAAGACCUUAGUCCCUCUUAAGUAUUUUACACUUAUACGCAACGAUGGACGAAAUGUCUUUGUACAUGUUCAAAGGGACGGUAGUACAUGCUCGCGCCGAUUGAUUGGCCAACUUGCUUUGCGAGACAAUUCGUUUGCAAUCAUAGGAUUUCGACCUUUGGUCCUCUAGUUUUAGCCUUUAGGCGAUCAAGUGGAUAUUUGCGCACCUAAGAGUACUGUUAUAUAGUUGUUUGGGCUUUUUGGCGCCUUUACAUUCUCUAGAAUAAAUGCUCGACAUUAUAUGUGACAUUGGAUUUUCGAAUAUAUUUGAAUGAGAGGAAAUUUUGAUAGGGUUCAAAUAAUUUUGGCAAUUGGGUCUAAUGGUUGUUACAUAGAGAGAUUUGAAAUUCAAGUUUUUGGAGACUUGUGGAAUUGUAUGAUAAUUCUAACUAAGAAGAUUUUACUCAAAAAAUUUUGAGAGAUUUAUGAGAUCAUUAUCUAUCAAGUUACAAUUUAGUAAAGUCAUUAAAAAAAGUCAUGAACCUUUUAGUUUGGCCAAUUUAGCCCUAAACAUAUUGAUGAUUUGCCAAUUUAAUCAUAAAUCUCUCAAUAUUGCCAAUUAAUUAUAAAUCCUUAUGAUAAUUUACUAAUUUAGUUUUAAAUCUUUUAACGAUUUGUCAAUUUAGUCAUUCUAACUAAUUUUAGCAAGAAAUCAAUGACAGUCUAAUUAGAGUCAAUUGUCCUAUAGGUACGAUUAGCACUAACAUGUACAAUUUUCUUUUCAAAUCUUAUUUAUGAAUUUUUUCUUCUUUCUUUUUUUCUUGUUUUCCUCCACUGACCAUCACUGAGCCUCAAAAAUGGCCAGCAGAGAGAUCCUUGGCCUUAGACAAUAGCAAGGGUCACCAUUGCUAGCCCCAAUGAGGAUCACCCUCAUUGCAUCUAGCAAGGACUGCUGUUGAAGAGAAAAAGGAUAAAAAAUAAAAGGAGAAAAAAACAAAAAAUAAAAUGAAAUUACAAAAAUUAUCAACGUUAGCAUCGACCUUAUUACAUAACACAUAAGAUGACUAAUGCUAAGUAGACCGCCUUGUCAACAUUUUUUUAUUAAAAUUAGCUGGAAGGUCUAAACUUUAAUUAACACUAAAUUGGCAAAUCAUCAAAAAAUUUAUAAUUAAAUUAUCAAAUCAAUUUUGACCAAAAAAUUGGUAAAAUUAAAAUGUUUGAACUAAAUUUGCAUAAAUAUGAUAGGUUAGUGAUUUUUUUUGGUAAUUUACCCUAUAAUUUUCAACAAUUGAGUUUAAUAGUCGUUAAGUGGAGAGAUUUAGAAUCCAAGUUUCUGGAGACUUUUGGGAAGAAUUGAAUUUAAAAUUUUACGAGAGAUGUGUGGAGUUAUCUCUAUCACGUCACAUUUUUGCUUAUAAUAUGACGAUAUAAAACCAUGAUUAAUUUCCCACCAUUUGCAUCAAUCUUCAUGGAAUUUUGAAAGAAAAAUAGUCUGAUUAAAGAAAAAAAUAGCUCUAGUUAACUCCACGUACGGUAGAGAUCUAACCGAAAAUGAAAUUCACAUAAGCGUCUAUCAUUCUUCUUCCCCUUCACCUCCUAUUUAUUUAGCAUUUUCCAUCAACAUUCGCCCCUUCUAAUUCACCAAAAGCCAAGAGCCUUACAGUGGAACCAAAUAAGUUAACAUUCGCGAGUGAUUUGAAAUACGAAAUAAUGAUCGUAUUAAUAAUAACUGGUUUUCUUAGGCGUGAUUAAUUUUUGUUCCUUGUGCAACAUCAUAUGCUAAUAAUAAGAUUCAAGACCUUAAUAGCACAAUGAAAUAUAUAUAAAGGGCUCGACUUUAAUUUUUCGUUUUGCUAUUGUAUAAGUUAUUUUCUAUUAAAAAAAAACAUCGUUCGAAUGUUUUCCUAUUUUGUAAAAAAACUAAAAAUAAACAGGUAUUUACCUUUCGAAAAAUAAAAGAAAGAGUAAACUAACUAUAUAUAGAGGACAAGGAUAAGGUUGGCUGCACUAUAAGAACAAUUAAAUAAUUUUAUCAAGUACAUUUUCUUAAGGGAAUGUAGAUGGUCUUUUUUUUUUUUUUAACCUUUUCAUUAUCUUUCUUUGGUCAAUUUUCUUUGAUUAACAUUAUAAAUAAAUAAAUAAAACUUACAAGGGCUCCAACGGAAGAGAGAGAAUUUGACAUUUUUCAUUAAAGCAAUAUGUCUAAAGGUCAUUAUACUUAAAAUGAAUGUGCUUUGUUUUUUAAUUUAUUCAAUGUGAUUUAUAAAUCGUAGUUUAAUGUACAAUGUCAUUUUUAAACUUUCAAUUUAUUCAAUGUGUUCCGUACAUGUUCAAUUUAGUCCUCGAAUUAUAUAAAAAUAUUCAAUAUUGUCCAUAAACUUAAAUUGAUGGAAGGAUAACAAAUCAAAAGUUUAUGACCUAUAUUGUACAUUGAGCUAAAAUUCAUAAAUCAUGUUAAACAAAUUAAAAGUUCAAGAAUAAUAUUAUACGUUGAGCUAAAAGUUUAUGGAACUAUUGAUAUUGUUAUCUCUUCUUUUGUAUGUAUAUAGAGAGAGAGCCUCUUUUUCAGGCAAAUGAAGAAUAGUCAUAAUUAUAAUGAAAUUUGCUGGUCAACCCAAAAUUGUAGCUACCAACCCGUGCUGUUCCUGCCCACCCUCACCAUCUGGACCCGACCACCUCCCAAAACGAUGGCAAUUUCAGACCAGGCAAACGGCCCAGAUUUCUUAUCGGACACGCUUCUGUGCCAUUAAUUCAACCAAAUACAUCCAGACAUAAAAACUAGAAAGAAGAUAAAUAAUUAAGAAAGUCCCCGCCUUCUCCAAAACACCCAUCCCGGGCACAGAAAUUUCGACACGAAUGAAAAAUUCCUUGUAAAGAAGUUGCAUUUCUUCCCCUGCUUCUAUCUAAAACUCCUUGUCAAGAAGGGAGUAAUAUGGAUUAUUCAAAUAUGAAGCACAUCGAAACGGGAACUCAUCUCUUGAUCUAGCUCGGUUACUUCUAAUGCGAGAUCCGCUUUGCUAUCGUGGUCAUCCAAAAACAAGUGGCUGACCACAUGUGAUGAUGAGGGGGUGGAAUCUCAUUAAAAGCAGGCUCUCGCUCACUCGCGGAUUUGAAAUACCGGUGCCGGAAGCGCUCCCGGCUUGAACUGGAUCCGAACUGCGGAGACGAGCAAUACCACAAGAAGAAUCCCAUGUCUUUGGAACUACCAGAUCACUAUACAGCGAGAGAUAAGUGCGCAAAUGAGAUAGUAGAUCGCAAAAGAUAAAUUCAAGUCAGUUAUUGACUUCAUCUAUCCAGAAAAGUGAAUCAUAUAGACCAUUGAUAAGCCUUCAAUCUGAAGUUAGGGAAAGACAAGAUGAGACGACUUACCCCUCGAGACAUUUCUCGUUACAACGACUAAUGAAAUCGUCUGCAUGCGCUUUGAACUCGAUGCCGAGACGUUCAACCAUUUUCAUGGCAGCAUCAUUUAAGGGCAAUACAUCCCAAAUUUUGAAGAUUUGGGUAUAUCUCAGUUCCCAAAUCUUUAGGCUUUGAGUUUCCUUCAGUAUAUCGACGAUGCACAGCACGCAGAGACCGUCCACCUCGAACUGCUUCACCAUUGAGAACGGCUUUCCGGGCUUAAAGCCACAUUGCUCUUCACUCGACUCCAGCCACCCAGAAGUUUUGAUAAGAGGUUCAUUAUUGACACUUUGGUCCUAAGCGACGUCAGCUUUCUGAAAGACUUCACGAAGUUGACGCCGAAGAAAACCUACAGCGACGAAUGAUUGACAGCAUUGUCAUUGAUUCUGCAAAAUGAACAUCUUGAAACGAUGAAUUAGCACAGAAAACCAUUCGCGCAAAGUUGUUUACCCUCCACUGAGCGUUCCUAAAUAGGAUGCUGUUGCCAUCGAGCGGAUCAUCGAACUUGAUAUCCUCUUUCUUCCCAUCCAAAAUGGCUUUAACUUCAUCACUACUGGAGGAACCUUCUCGGCUCUUGGCAUCGUGAAAGCAAUUUGCCCUCCACCUCUCAUUUAUAAACAGAACACUACUUCCAUUGACCGGAUCAUCAAGCUGAUUACUACUCCCAUCCAAAAUGGUUUAACAUAAUCAAUGCCGAAGGAACACCCACGGGUCUUAGCAUCAUGAACCAAAGCGUCCCAUACAGAUUUACUUCUCGUCAGCGUUUUCCCGUUUCCCAAAAUUCAAAGAGAGUAUCUACACAGAGGCAGCCAAAAGCAGGGAUUGUAAAUAGCAUAUUAUUAUGGCAAAAUUCAAUUUACCCUGACAAAGCAGGAAUAGAAUAGACUACCUUGCCAUGGUGAGAGUGACGUUGGUUCUUUUAGGAUGCACAUGACAACGUUUCUAUUUCUCUAUUUCUCUGUUUCUCUAUUUCUUAGAACAAGUUUGAAACAGAAAUUUGUUUGGUACUGCAAUUUCAUUUUUUUUAUUUUUGGAACAGAUUUUUAUUUCAGAAAUAAAUUUGAAGUAAGAAUCAAAAGUUAAAAUUUUUAGUUUUUAAAUUUCUGGAACAGAAUUGAGAAAUCAAAACUUUCUUCAUCAUUUAUCAUCAUCUCCCAUCGCCCACACGCCGCUUGUGGGAUGCCGAACGCCUGCCGCUUGCUGCCGAUUGCCGGCCACUCACCACCAACCCCGGCCAUCAGCCGCUCGCGACUGACCGUUGGCCACCGAACGCCGGUUGUUAGCCACCGGACUCCAACUGCUCGUCACCAACCUCCAGCCGCUGGAUGUUGGACAUCUGUCAGUCAUUGGCUACUCAUCGCCAACCAUCGAACACCGGAGGCCCACCGUUGACCACCGAACGUCCCUCACCGACCGCCCAUUGGUCACCACCAGCCGUCGGACUUCGGCCAUUGGCCACCCUCCAUCAGCCGCCAAACUCCAGUUGUUGGCCACCCGCCGCUAGCUGCCAAACUCCGGCUUGGCCACCCAUCACUGGCCACCAGACUUCAACUGUUGGCCACCCGCCGCUGGCCACCGAAUGCCAGUUGCCAACCUUUGGACGAUAGACGCCAAACUCCAACCACCCAUUAUCGAUCGCCGAACGCUAGAUGCCGAUAGCCGGAUGACACACUCUGGCCACCGAAUGCCAGCCGUCGUCACUCCUAAAAAUAGAGAUUUUAUUCUCUUAUUAAACGAAUUUUUACUCUAGAAAUAGAAAUUCUGAAUCGUUAUCAAAUGUGUUUUUAUACUGAGAAACUCAUCCAUGGAAUAGAAAUUGAUUUCUAUUCCAGAGAUUUUGUUAUGCACGCCCUUAGUGUCAGAAAUGAACAUGAUAGAUCCUAGUAUAAUGUCCUCUUUGUCCCCCUGGAACCCAUCCACCGACCUCAAUUUCACCGUAGACUUUGAUAAUUUCAUGUCGUCUUCCAAAUUUCUGUUGUAUUGCAGCAACCCGACCUCCAUAUGGAGAUGUCACACCGACAAUUGGAUGAUCAUGAAGAUUUACAUGCUGCAGAAAAACCAAUAUGAUAUAGCUAAGAUGUGGCACAGAAGUCAUAACUCCUACAAGUCACGACAAAACUAACAUGGAAGUGUUAUGUACACCUCCGAUUCCUGUCUUAUAUGUCCUGCAAUGACAAGAAAGCACUCCAUCUCACCAUAUCCUGUGUCAAUAAGCAUAAAAAGCUAUGCAAAUCUCUCUAAACAUCCCAAGAAACUAGAUGGACUCCAUGGAAAGAUUGAACAGAAAUAUUCUUUUCUUGCAACUUCCGCAGUUAAGAACUGGCCGCCCAUGCUAUAUGAUAGGAUGGGAAAUGGUGCAUCCACAUCUAUAACCAAACAUGUGCAAAUAUGUAGUCGCUGUUUGAAUUAAUGUAUACUAUUUGGCAGGAAACGAUAUAAACUGGCAAAAAUCCCUCAUGGCGUACCUUCAAAUAGAUUCCUCAAAAUCAUCGACACGACUCCUACCUCAACAUAGCUUCUAAGGCUUCGUCCAUCAUCCCCAACUCCUUCUCUUCCAUUAGGAAUAUCUGUGAAGGAGUACGGGCCAAACACUAGCCACUGCAAAUGACAUUUUCUGUAACUUCUGCCAGUAACAUUCGGCCAUCCAGAAUUUGGUUUUUGUAAAAGGUCAUUAUGGGAAAUCGACUUAUCGCGGGAUGCAGUCUGUGCUGGACAUGGAGGAGGUGUCUAGGAUGACCCCAGAGCACUCAACCUUUCGAAUAGACUCCUUCCAAAGCCAGCCUUGCUAGAUAGCUAUAGAAAUAAAAACAUUCAAAAACUUAGAAGGUCGAUUAAGCAUAAGAUGAUUCUUGUGUAUGGAUGCAUGUGCAAGUUGCUAGACAAACAUUCAGCAGUGACAUACCUUGCUGUCAACCGUAGCAGGUAACUGACAUUUAUCUCCAACUAAAAUUGCGUGCCUGACACCUUGAAGUUGUAAUGGAAUCAUUGACUCGCAUUCUUUCAGCUGCGCAGCCUCAUCAAUCAUCAAUAAACUGACAGACUCCAUUUCCGGGGAGUACAACUUAGAUGAGCUAGAGGCAGUGCUGAAAAUUUAAGGAAGCUGUUUGAUAACAGAACUCUGCUAUCAUGCUCUUACCUGUAAAUGUUGGAAUUUUUAGCCUUCCAAGAGACGUGUUGAGAGUUCGCAAAAUGGAGAGGCAUUCAACUCUCUUCAUCGAUAACGCUGUAUAUAGUGGAUCUGAGCAACUUUCGAAUGAAGAUGGCAAUGACAAAAAUGCUUCCUCCAACUUUCUCAAAUCCAACUUCUCUCUAUGUAGUGGAAUUUCAAAAGAAUCAAGUACGAUGAUAAAGGACUUAAUCUCACGGAAAUUAUGUUCAAGAAGGUAAUUUAUGGAUAUAUGGGUGCAUAAGAUAGAGAAACAUCUUCGGAGAGCCUCUGCACUUGACUUGAAUCUGCGCUUGAAGAAAUCCAGAAAUGAUUUAAAUUCAGGUUCGGAUUCAUUUUUGCUGCUUUCACAUUUGCUCCCAACCUCGGUACCAUUAAGCUCCUGUAAAAUAUUGCGUUCGUUCUCCAAACAAAUGUGGUAUUUGCGGACAUGGUCAUUGAGAGUAUUGGUCAUGGAAGUUACACAAUGCUGCCAACCAGUAAGCAUAGAAAAGGACUCCGCAACACAAUCAACUCGAUGAUUCAAGUAUAUUUCCUCAAUAUUUAAAUCUACUUUCAUCCGCUCCUUGUUCCCAAAAAUAAGCAUGUCUCCUGAGUAGCAGAGUAAGCUUUCCCCACUAGAGUUUGUGCAAACCGAUUCUUUCACCAGCUCCAAAACAUGAGAUGCCAAUUCCUUGACGGCAACAUUUGUUGGAGCACAAACAACGGUUCUGUGUUUCCUUUUCAAGAGAGUACAGAGCAGCGCCACGACAGUUUUGGUCUUCCCUGUCCCUGGAGGACCCUGUAUCAUUUCUACAGCUGACCUGUGUUGACACUAUGGCAUCAAGACAAGCGAGAACUGCUUUUCUCUGGCAUUCGUUCAGACCACCAAACAAGUUGUUAUUGAGACUCUCAUGUCCAGAGCCAUGAAUUUGAGUAAUACAGAGAUUGCAAUCUUUCUCAGCCUGCAAACAAACACAUAUCUUAUAAAAAUUGACAUUCCGAUAACCUUAAUAAAAAAAAAAAGUCAGAACCAUGAAAUUAAGUGAUUAUGUUGCAUCCCUGUACAACCUCCACAAACAUUGAGCACAAAGGAUGGUGUUAUGUAUAAACAGGGUCUAUCACUGAAUCUUGGUUAUAUUAUUGCAUUAUUGAAUUAUAUGUAAGAGUUUUUCUAAUUAUGGACUACAUUAAUUGAUAUUAUAAUUUACCGUUUAACGUUUACCGUUUUACGGAGUUUGGUCUAAGGUGAGAUAGAAUGUUUUUUAAUUAGUCUAAUAUGGGCUGGCUAGUAUGGGCCGAGUUGAGCCUGGCCUGUAAUGAGGAGGACUGGCUAGAAACUCUAUAAAUAGUAUUCAAGUCUCUCCUCUAACCAUAAUUCUCACAUGUAUCCUCACCUAAGGGACGUUUACCUAAUGCUACACGUGAGGGGGCCGCCUCGUGAGAGGCCGCCUCGUUGAGCCAGUGAUACGGAGGCAAUAAAGGAGAAGGACUUACGUGUGGAACAUUGUGUUUCCUCUUCCGUUUCAAGAACAAUGGAUCCCCUUGAUGAGUGGGUAAUCCAUUUUCUGCUUCCGCUUUAUGUUCGAUGGAUCCCAAAACAGGUGCGUUAAUCUUUCUACUCAAUUAUAUAUGUUAUUGUUCUAGUUAUGGAGAUCUUGGGGUUGCGCAAUUUGCGUCCAACAUUAUAUUGUUAUCAUGUAAUACGGAGCAAGCAGCUUUUGAUUGUUUGGAGAAAUAACAGGCUAACUCAAAAGAGAAUGAAGUUUCUUUUUAUAAUCGGGAUGGAAGUUUUAUUGUGACAAUAAUAUGUUUACCGUUGACCGUACAGGGAUAACAAGUAUCCAAAAUCCUUACCACUGAAUCCGUACGUAGAACUGCCUUUACAAUGUCUAAGUUCGAAAAUCUGUGUAGCCCGUUCCAUAUCCAUAUCCUAUCAUUCGUGACUGCAUUCAUCAGGAAAACCGCAUACAUUGACUUUCAAGCACGAACAUCAUCCAUUUCGUUGUCACAAAACGCCUUGACUUUGAACUUUGUUGAUGCUUGAGCAUCCCCGUCCUCCUCUUCUACCAUGUCAGCGACUGAUGCAAACGCCCAUCUUCCUGCAAACCUUUCUAAGCUGGGAAUGGUAUCUGGCUUGGCAUUAGUUAACAUCAAAUCAUCCCCACGGGAAGUUUUGUAUAGCUUCGUGGCCCGACAAGCGGACCUGUUUCUCCAGUAAUCCACUUUGACACGGUAAGCAUUCUUCUCUCCUUCAACAAACCCAGCGACUUUCGCGAAGGGCCGCCUAGAUACAUUCUGCAUACUUGAAUAGAGGCCAACUCGUGUUUCCUCCAGCAAAGGAAAGAAAGGUGUUGCUCAACUGAUCAAAAUGAAUCCGGGAUGUACCCAAUCUACAAAACAGGUCUAUUAAAAAUCAAACAUGACCAACCAACUUCACUCCAUGGAUCGAGCAUCUCUGUCGUCUGUCAUAUCAAUGUCACACAAAUAGGACACCAUACAUCAUAUCAAAAGAGCAAAUAUUCCCGCUAACACCGAAUAACUUCGCCACACAGACAAAGAGCAAAGUCCUCACCCGCUAUACAACAGUCCUAACUUCACAUAGCAGGCUCACAAAACAACCCUUGCACAAGAGCGAGGAACUAAAAUCUUUUAAAAAAUUUUGGGGGAAACCCCCCUUAAACUUUAAAAGGGGAAAAAAAAAAAGGCUUUUUGAAAAAAAAAAAAGGGCCCCCCCCCCCCCCCCCCCCCCCCCCCCCAAAAAAAAAAAAAGGGGGGGGGGGGGAAACAAGAAAGGAAAGAGAUUAAGAAGAGAGAACCUUGUCCCUGUAGAGAUUCAUAUCGAAGAUAUUUUGAAGAGAACAAGAGAAGAUAAUAUUAGUGAGCUUACUGGGCUUUUCUUUCCUCCCGCUAGAACCAGUCUCUGCGCCUUCUGCAGAAUCCAUGUCCAACCAUUCUUUGCUCACUCUCAGAACCGCCUAUGAAGCCAUGAAAAUCCUUCCCUUGCCGUCGAAAAUGAUAAAUGUUACUGAGAGUUUCAAGCAACGAGAGACUGAUAGAGCGCAAUAUGAAGAAGCGAGCAGCUUUUAUACUUGCGAAUCCCUCCCGUUCGGAGACGAGCAUUUGGAACGAUGAUCGGUGGGUGACUUCAGGUGAAGUGAAAAGGGGGCAAGAAACGGAGCGGACGACUCUCGAAAGGUCAUGGGUCUCCUCGUACCCCCGCGCACCAUUUGAUCCGAUUUCGCCAGAACUGUACGUGCUAAAGCUUUUUGCACGAUGCAUGUGGCUUUGCAACGCACAGGCUUCUUCGUCGUCGUCCCGUCCCACGUGUUUUUUUCAAAGCGAAGGAGUCGUACGCCUCAAACCGACAAACGAAAGUUACUUUGGGUAAUGCUUUCUUGCACGUACCAUACAUGCACACCGUAUUCCCUAGUCUGGAGUAAUUGGUGUCCUGAACGUUUGAAGUUUGGAUUCAGAUACUCAAGCACAAGUUCAUUUUUCAAUUUCGAAUGACCACACGCGUGUACUUGCGCCUUGAUCUCAUGACUGGUCAUGGAAAUUAGAAGUGAGAUUCGGUCGCGGUUAGUACACAAGUGAAAGCUUGUUAAAUUAAACUUUCAAAUAUAACGAAUGAAGGGAAACUUUGUGAGAGGGUUUGAAUGAUUUAGGCAAUUGAGUUUAAAGUUUGUUACAUAGAGAGUUUUGAAAUUCGAGUUUUCCUUUUUAGACUUGUGAGAUCAUAUGGUAAUUCUAGUUAGGAUGAUUUUACUUUAAAAUAUCAUGAGAGAUUUAGCAUAUUACCGAUUGUUACUUUGCAAUUUUGCUUAUAGUAUAACGAGAUGGAACCAUAAUUCAUUUCUGAUCAUUUACACUUAUAUUCAUGGAAAGUUUGAAAUAAAAAUAGUUUGAUAGAAGAAUAGCUCCAGUUUGCUUCAGUAUGGUAGAGAUGUAACCUAAUAUAAAAUUUACACAAGCGUCUAUCAUUCUUCUUCCACUUCACCUCCUGUGUAUUUGACAUUUUCUUCAACAUUCGCCAUUUCUAGUUCACCAAAAGCCAGGAGCCCAUUAGAGGAACCAAAUAAGUUAACAUUUCCUCGUGAUUUUGAAAAUAAUCAGUGAUUAUAUAAAUAAUAAUCGGUUAUCAUGCACAUGCUUGGUUAGCAUCAACAUAAGAGACUAUUAAUAAAAUCGAUAACUUUCUUUUGUUGAGAUAUAAAAUUCAUAACUUUAAUUGCGCUACCGAGAGAGAAUUUAACAAAUGAUAAAAGUCAAUGUACUACUCCGAUCUCCAGCGACGUCGUGAUUUUGGCGCUUGGGAACCCUAAAAUUCCACAGCGAUGCGCGCAUCCUCCUCGCUUGAUGGUCUCUGGAUUUGCAAGCGAUUCGAGUUCCUCCGCUCGGCUUCUGGCUGCGUGGAUCUCUUUCUCCGGAGGUUCCAGCGAGGGGAGGCUUGUCGCGCCAUAAGUCGCUCGAGAAAGGUGCAGAAUCUGCAGAUGGCGUUCGUCUCGUUGCUCUCGGUGAAUGGUUUGAUUGCAUCGACUGUUCGUGCUCUCUGCGAUUAUUCCUCGUUUUUGCCUCGUUGGUAAACGAGACGAUCUCGCUCUGUGGCUUUAGAUAAGCAUUUCGCUGGUUAUGUUACUGCCGGACAGGGAGUGCAAGGAAUUGAAAUUCAAAUUGAGAAAAAUUGCAAGAAUCGUCGUCGAAAGCCCCUACGGAGUCUAAAGCAGAAAAAAGAGUAGGAAAAGAACAAUCAUUUUUCGCGCCUACCAUCCAUUUUAACUAAUGCGAAAUUGGAAUUUUAAUGUUGAGGAUCAGGCCACAUGUGAUGUCAUAUGGUCUUCAAAUUCACAAUCUGAUCCUAUAUAACAUCAUGCAAAGACAGAAAUCAACAUUGAAGUAUAAAAAGCGAUCUUAGUGCUAAGGAUGUCGGGAGAUGAAUCUUUACUUCAUAGCUAUGCCACUUGAAUAGAAAAUUCCAUGCUAUUAUAUCAACCACAUAUUUCCAGACAUGAAAUUAUAAGAGCACAUAUAAUUAAGAAGGUCCACGCCUUCUUGAUAAUAACCGGCACGGGCACAGAAAUUCCGACCCGAAUGAAAAUCUGAUGGUAAAGAUAUUGUAUUUUUCCCUGCUUCUGUCAAAAGCUCUUCGUGAAGAAGGGAACAACACGGGUUACCUAAAUACAAAGCGCACCGAAGCGGGAACUCAUUUCUCGAUCUAGCUCGGUUACUUCAGAUGCGAGAUCCACUUCGCUCUCAUGAUCCUGCGAAAACAAGUGCCUGACCAUGCCUGAUGACGAGGGGUGGAAUCUCAUUGAAAGCAGGCUCUCGCUCGCUCUAGGAUCUGAAAUAUCAGGCCCGAAACCGCUCCCCGCUUGAACUUGAUCCAAACGACGGUGGAAACGAGCAAUGCCAUGAGAAGAAUCCCAUGUCUUUGGAACUACCUGAUCCCUAUACAACAGAAGAUAUGUGAUAGUUCGGAAAAGAUCGAUUCAGUCAGUUCUUGAGGUCAUUAAUCCAGGAAACUGAAUCAUAUAGACGAUGGAUAAGUUUUCAAUCUGAAGUUAGGGAAAACAAGCCGAGACUUACCCCUCAUGACAUUUCUCGUUGCAGCGACUAAUGAAAUCGUCUGUGUAUGCUUUGAACUCAUUGUCAAGACGUUCGACCAGUCUUGUCGCAUCACUUAAGGGCAAUACAUCCCAAAUCUUCAGGAUUUGGAUGUAUCUCGGUUCCUUAAGUACAUCUAUAUCGACAGUGUACAGCACGUAAAGACCUUCGACCUUGAAUUGCUUCACCAUAUAAGAGCAGCUUUUAGGGAGUAAACCCACAUCGCCCUUCUCAGGUCUCCAGCCACCAGCAAGUUUUGAUAAGCGGUUCAUGAUUGACAUCUCGGUUCUAAGUGACGUCAGCUUUCUGAAAGACUUCACGAAGUCGUCGCCGAAGAAAACCUGCAGUUGACAAGAAAAAGUAUCGUCAUUGAUUCUGCAAAAGUCGAAUGUUCAUUUUCAACUGGCAAAUUUAGCAGAGAAAAACAAUGCGCAAAGUUCUUUACCCUCCACCGAGCAUCUCUAAAUAGGAAACUAGUGCCAUCGAGCGGAUCAUCGAGCCGAAUGUCCUCUUUCUUCUUCCCAUCCAAAAUGGAUUUAACUCCAUCAGUACUGGAGGAACAUUCUUGACUCUUAGCAUCCUGAGAGCACUUUGCCCUC